GGGUGACGUUCGAUGGCCCGUUGCGAAAAGGAGAAGCUUCGCGGGUCGGGUCCGGGAGACGCAGCGUAUCAGCUGCAAGGGGAGAGGGUACUUCCGCCAGGAUGGCCCAAUCGCAGUGGUAGGGCAGUUUCUAUAAAAGCUUGAGCCUUGGGCUCCCCGUUCUUUUGGGAUCGAGUGCGGGUCUGGCGUGUUUGCUCUUGCUGGCGCCGUCCGCUAAGGUCAUGGGCGCACUGGGCCCCGAGUGGGUUUGAGGGGGUCCCCCAAGUCUGCAGGCCCGCCUGGCCCUCUUCCGCCUCGGUGUUGUUCAUGUUUUUUGCUCCGCCUUCCCCAACCCCACCCCCUCGUUGGGUCGGAGAAGUCCGAACCUCCAGACCUCCAUCUCCCGGCAGGGCGGUGGGUGACCCGGCCAGAGGCCGUGAACGUGAGUCGACGUCAGCCCAGAGGCCUGGUGGUAAGGCGGGAGCCCGUGUCGGUCUGGGAAGCGCUGAGCAAUAAAGCAAAAGUGGUGAGUUGAUUGGAA